GUAGGUGACCUGCGGAGGAUCAUUAUUGAAUGAACCUUGGUAGGGGUUGUAGCUGGCCUCUCGGGGCAUGUGCACACCUUUGCCAUUGCUUCUUUCAUUUUCCACCUGUGCACCUUUUGUAGACCAGGGUUAGAGGAGGUUAGCUGCCUCCUUGUUAUAAAGUCCAGGUCUAUGCUAUUCUACAUACACUCUGAAUGUUUAUAGAAUGUCUCUACUCAGGCUUUUAUAGCCUUUAAACAAAUAUACAACUUUCAACAACGGAUCUCUUGGCUCUCGCAUCGAUGAAGAACGCAGCGAAAUGCGAUAAGUAAUGUGAAUUGCAGAAUUCAGUGAAUCAUCGAAUCUUUGAACGCACCUUGCGCUCCUUGGUACUCCGAGGAGCAUGCCUGUUUGAGUGUCAGUAAAUUCUCAAACCUCAUCAGUUUGUGAUUCAACUGGUUGGGGCCUUUGGAGUUGGGAGUUGCAGGCUACAAGCAAGUGGUCAGCUCUCCUCAAAUGCAUUAGUGGGGUUUAACUCAGUGUGAACCGCCUCUAUUGGUGUGAUAAUUAUCUACGCCAAGAGCAGCUUCACAGAGCAAAUGAGUCUUGCUCAUUGCUUUUGAUUGAGUCUCUGCUUCCUAAUCGUCUUCGGACAAUUUCUGACAAUUUUGACCUCAAAUCAGGUAGGACUACCCGCUGAACUUAAGCAUAUCAAUAAGCGGAGGAAAAGAAACUAACAAGGAUUCCCCUAGUAACUGCGAGUGAAGCGGGAAAAGCUCAAAUUU
rnacentral:rRNA from 1 species